UGGGGAAUAUUGGACAAUGGGCGAAAGCCUGAUCCAGCCAUGCCGCGUGUGUGUAGAAGGUCUUCGGAUUGUAAAGCACUUUAAGUUGGGAGGAAGGGCAUUAACCUAAUACGUUAGUGUUUUGACGUUACCGACAGAAUAAGCACCGGCUAACUCUGUGCCAGCAGCCGCGGUAAUACAGAGGGUGCAAGCGUUAAUCGGAAUUACUGGGCGUAAAGCGCGCGUAGGUGGUUUGUUAAGUUGGAUGUGAAAUCCCCGGGCUCAACCUGGGAACUGCAUUCAAAACUGACUGACUAGAGUAUGGUAGAGGGUGGUGGAAUUUCCUGUGUAGCGGUGAAAUGCGUAGAUAUAGGAAGGAACACCAGUGGCGAAGGCGACCACCUGGACUAAUACUGACACUGAGGUGCGAAAGCGUGGGGAGCAAACA
rnacentral:rRNA from 1 species